CACGAAUUCGUGUGAGCUAACCCAUUUAAACGCUUAUGUGGCAUAAUACCCAUCAAACUUGGGUUAGGGGUGAAAGGCCUCUCAAAAACGAUGAUAUCUUGAAGUAAACGAAAUAAAUUGAGUUUGAGUUGGUUACAAAGUUAUAAGAUUUUGUAAGAGGUUCAAUAUUUAUAUUUAGGGAAUGUGGGUAUAAAAACCUACGUUGCGUGAUACUAAUAUUAAGAUAGAAAAGUUUAUCUAAGUAGUUUACGGUAGCACAACUAUGGAAUAAUCAUAAUGUUAGUAUAAGUACUUAGGAGAUAUUAAUAGUGAACUCGGCAAUAAAGCCUUCAACUGUUUAUCAAAAACAUAGCCAUAUGUUUCACUUAUGGUGUGUUCUGCUCAAUGAUGUUUAAAUAGCCGCAGUACCCUGACUGUGCAAAGGUAGCAAAAUCAUUUGUCUUUUAAUUGGAGUCGCGUAUGAAUGAAUGCAUGGGGGCUUACUUUACCAUUAAUAUAGCGCGAAAUUGCUUAAGAGGUGAAAAAACCUUUAUUUCUAUAAUAGACGAGAAGACCCUUGAAAUUUGUUUAAUAGUUUUGUUGGGGCAACAUUGUAGAUAAACCUACAAAAUGUACAUGAAAUUUAUUUGCAUGACUAAAUUACUCUAGGGAUAACAGCAUAAUUUUUAAAAGUUUGUGACCUCGAUGUUGGAUUAGGGAACUAUAACUUAAAA
rnacentral:rRNA from 1 species